AGUCCAUGGUCUUUGCUCGGA
rnacentral:miRNA from 1 species